ACGGCUCAGUAACACGUCGAUAAUCUGCCCUUAGGUUAGGGAUACCCACGGAAAACUGUGGCUAAACCCUAAUAAUGAAGAAAUUCUGGAACGAAUUUUUCAUCAAACGCAAGGCCUAAGGGAUGAGUCGGGCGGCGGAUUAGGGCAGUUGGGCGGUGUAAACGGACCACCAAACCCUAAGAUCCGUAGGGGCCCCUGAGAGGGGUAGCCCCGAGAGGGACACUGAAAUACUGGUCCCAGCUCCACGGAGUGCAGCAGGCGCGUAACCUCCACAAUGCGCGAAAGCGUGAUGGGGGGAUCCAGAGUGCUUACACUUUUUAUGUAAGCUUUUGCCAAGGGCAAAUACCUUGGAGAAUAAGUGGUGGGUAAGACCGGUGCCAGCAGCCGCGGUAACCCCGGCGCCACGAGUGGCAAUCUUAUAUUUGGCCUAAAGCAUUCGUAGCCGGUUUGAAAAAUCCUUUGUGAAAUCGUUGAACUCAAUACAACGGCGUGCAGAGGACACUUUUAGACUAGAGAUUGGGAGGAGUUAGGGGUAUGUCUGGGGGAGCGGUUAAAUGUGAUAAUCCCAGACAGACCACCUGUGGCGAAGGCGCCUAACUAGAACAAUUCUGACGGUGAGGGAUGAAAGCUAGGGGAGCGAUCCGGAUUAGAUACCCGAGUAGUCCUAGCUGUAAACUCUGUGAGCUAGGUGUCGCAUAUUCUACGCGAAUGUGCGGUGUCGAAACGAAGGUGAUAAGC
rnacentral:rRNA from 1 species